rnacentral:rRNA from 1 species
CCUACGGGUGGCAGCAGUAGGGAAUAUUGCGCAAUGGGGGAAACCCUGAAGCAGCAACGCCGCGUGGAGGAUGAAGGUUUUCGGAUUGUAAACUCCUUUUGUUAGAGAAGAUAAUGACGGUAUCUAACGAAUAAGCACCGGCUAACUCCGUGCCAGGAGCCGCGGGAAUACGGAGGGUGCAAGCGUUACUCGGAAUCACUGGUCGUAAAGAGCGCGGGGGCGGGAUAGCAAGGCAGAUGUGAAUUCCUAUGGCUUAACCAUAGGACUGCAUAUGAAACUGUUAUUCUAGAGUAUGGGAGAGGGAGGUGGAAUUCUUGGUGUAGGGGUAAAAUCCGUAGAGAUCAAGAGGAAUACUCGUUGCGAAGGCGACCUGCUAGAACGUAACUGACGCUGAGGCGCGAAAGCGUGGGGAGUAAACAGGAUUAGAUACCCCAGUAGUC